CUACGGGAGGCUCCAGUGGGGAAUAUUGCACAAUGGGCGCAAGCCUGAUGCAGCCAUGCCGCGUGUAUGAAGAAGGCCUUCGGGUUGUAAAGUACUUUCAGCGGGGAGGAAGGGAGUAAAGUUAAUACCUUUGCUCAUUGACGUUACCCGCAGAAGAAGCACCGGCUAACUCCGUGCCAGCAGCCGCGGUAAUACGGAGGGUGCAAGCGUUAAUCGGAAUUACUGGGCGUAAAGCGCACGCAGGCGGUUUGUUAAGUCAGAUGUGAAAUCCCCGGGCUCAACCUGGGAACUGCAUCUGAUACUGGCAAGCUUGAGUGUGGUAGAGGAGGGUAGAAUUCCAGGUGUAGCGGUGAAAUGCGUAGAGAUCUGGAGGAAUACCGGUGGCGAAGGCGGCCCCCUGGACGAAGACUGACGCUCAGGUGCGAAAGCGUGGGGAGCAAACAGGAUUAGAUACCCCAGUAGUC
rnacentral:rRNA from 1 species